UUCCCGAUGAUCUUGAGCUUACUCUUGGGACCUCUACUACCAGAUAAAGAGGUCCAAGUGUUCAUAAAUAUGGAUGUUUAUGCAAUCUUCAAUUACCUACCUCGUGUAGACCUUUCUGAAUAUAAUAGUAUUCUGGUCCAUUGAGAUACGGAGUAGGAGCCUUUUCCCCCCCCACAUCAGAAACAAUAGAUUGGAAUAUAAAUCGCCAGUGCUUUUUAUUUCUUUUUGCAGAUUUCCUUGGUAUAUUUUUACUUUGGAUUCUUUUUAAAUGUUGCACUGUUUGUUACACCUGCUUACGGGUGUGGAUAUUUUCGUUUUUGGGUAUCGGAAUUUAUCAAAAAGUGACUUUUCUUUCUGGAC